GCCCGCCGGGGGCUCGCGCCAGCCACGAGGGAGCGUCCGCGGCCCGCGCGCCCGCGCGGCGGAGGAGAGGUGUUAAGUGUGAUGCUUCCAUAAUACAUUUGGAUGCUGUCAGCUAAGUUCACUUCUGAACUAAGGGGUUCCUCCAAAUGUUGGCUGAAAUUCAUCCCAAGGCUGGUCUGCAAGUGAGUGUCUGCACACAGUUUGCUUGUAUGUGGAGUCGAUCCAAAAUAGCAUCAAUGUUGGUUUUACCAAAGUAUUUAUUAUUGAUAAUAGAGGCUAAGUACAAAAUGUAGAGAAUGUCAGCUACUUGAGGCCUUUGAUUAUUAAAAAUUUUAUUAAUGCAUUAAACAAGAGUACAGUAAAUAGAUAAAUUUUAGGUUCAUGAAAUAAAACUGAAUAAUUUAUUUUUACUUACUAUUUAUCAUGGAAUUACUUUGAAUAAUUUAUUUUUAAUGGUAUAAUUGGACAGUAAAAUUUAUAAACUCAGUGCUUUUCAUAAAAAUCAAAGUGAAGUUUGUAAUAUUUUAUACAAAUAGAAUUAUUAUUUAAGAGAAAUAACCUGUUUAUGCCUAAUUACAGUUUUUAAUCAUUUCAGUUACCUAUUUCUUUUAAGAAUAAAUUUAGUGGGAAUAUCAGUUCCAGUCAUGGGUACCAAACUUUUUUAGUGACAGAGUACACACAGGUAUGUAAAACUUGUCAUUUCUCAUCAAAUAGAGGCUGCUGAAUAUAGGCAGGUAAGAAAAGCUAUGAGAAAGAAUUGUUUUGCAGAAUAUUUGUCUAGUUGUCAGAGCAAGGAACUGAAUUUAUUGACACAGAACAUUUUAUUAAGUAAAAAAAAUGGUUCUUAUAACAAAAAAAAAAGCUAAUUUUACAGAAGGCAGUAGUUAAUAUAGCCGCCAAUAAAAUAAAUGUUUCUCUGAAUACUUUCCGAGGCAUUACAGUGAUUUUUAACUAAUAUGAAGUGAUAUAUAAUAAUUUUAAAGUAACAUCCUUGAGUUUUCCUAUUAUUAAUUGCUUAUGGAAAUUGGGUUUCACGUAUGACUGAGAGCUAAAGCAUUACAGUGAGUUAGAAAACACAACACAAAUGUAAAGAAAAUGUUAGGUGGUGAGUAAUCUGAUUCCUUUUUGUUUGCCUUUAAGCUUAGUUUUUUGUUUUGUUUUACUUUGUUUUAAACCAUGUAUAAAAUUGUUGAAUUUAAAAGAUAAGAGGAUUAAGUAAUUUCUUUUUUCCUCCUAAGGAUAAAUGUAGGAAAAAUCUAAACACAUAGGCAGAUUGGUUGAGUUUUAUAUCUGUUAUCGGCCACAUUUAUUAAGAUUCAUAUUUCAUGUAUAUUAGAGGUAUUCACAUGUAUUAAAAUUCUUAUAUUCCUUCUAUAUAAAAUAGAUGUAGGGGGUUCCCACUCUUGAAAAUAUGAAGAAAAGAUGUCCUUUCAGCAAUAAUGGGUUAUGGUUGAUUAACUGAGAAGGUUGUAUUAAACGUUCUCUAGUAGAAAUGGCUAAAGAGCAUGCUUUUUGAGAAGUGUAUCAUCUAGGAAGAAAAUCAAAUGGAGUAUUGGUAAUUAAAUUGUAAUUCCAUGAAGGAAGGAAGUGGUGCAAAAGAUGAAGCUAACUAUUCCUGUUUUUCUUUUUAAGAGUCUGCAAUUCAUAAUGGAGCUACUGUACUGGCUAUUGGAAGGAGGAGAUUCUGAAGAUAAGGAGGUAAAACCUGUUUAGAAAUUAAAAAUGAGUUACGAUUUAAAGAAAAUUCAGAUGACUCAUUGUGAGUGCUAGUUCUCUUGUAGGAUGCCACUGGAAAUGUUGAAAUGAAAAAUAUUCAGCCGUUGGUCUUUGAAAUUUCCUGUGAUGUGUUUCAAUCUAGAUGCAAAGAACAUGGAAAAAUCAAAGUGCUCGAGUGGUUUAAAUAUGUUUUGGGAGCCUCUUUAUUCAAAAUACUUUUAAAUGCAGUGCAUAAAAAUAGCAGGCCACUUCCACUUGCAGGCUUUUGAAGCUGGAGAAGACUUGUUUUUCACAUGAGGAAACUGAGUCCCAGCAAGGUGAAAUGACUUGCUAGUAAGUGAUACGAUUAAACUUAUUUUUUGACUCCAAAGCACAUUCUGCCAACUUGAAGAUGCUUGUCCCAACUUCUGGAAAUUCACCCUAUCAACGUCUGUAUCACAACCCCAUUCUUAAUAAUAGUUUCUUCACAUUAGAAAUAAAUGUCAGAAAUAAAUGUCUACUUGUCAUUUGUACAUGUCAUGCAAACAUCUUGGCACCAGAUAUGGGUACAAGUAGAAAGCAUCAGCGUGUUCAUCUAAGAACUGGAUUUUAUCCAAUGGAAUGUUCUGUUUAUUCAUUGCUAUUCAUGCAUACCUGCUGUGUUUUAACGUUGUGAUAAAUCCAGAGAAUCAAAUAUGAAUAAAAAUACUCCCUGAAUUCAACAAAGUAGGCAUUGGCUCUGGCCAGGGGACAAAAUGUUAAAUGGCAUGCAGUCUUCACCCUGGCACAACUUGAAGCUUAUCACCUAUUGUAGAGAUGAAGCCAUAAACAGAUCAUUUCAGCACAGCAUGAUAAGGGGGAGCUCCAGGGAUCAUGGUAGUACAUGGGCCCAGUCCCUAAUUAAAUCUGGUGGAGUGUGGGCAAAGUUAAGGAAGGCUUCCUAGAGGAGAGGGCAUUGGGGUUGAUCCCUGGCAGGAACAGGGCUCCAGGCAAGGGGAACAAAGACCAGU
rnacentral:lncRNA from 1 species